CAAUAGCGUAUAUUAAAGUUGUUGCAGUUAAAAAGCUCGUAGUUGGAUUUCAAGUUACGGACAGCCGAUCUGCCACAAUUGUGGUGUGAUUAAGGUAUUGAUCCGGACUUUCCUUUCGGGAGUCAUUUCGUGCUAUUGAGUUAGUGGCUAUGAAUUCCGAAUCGUUUACUUUGAAGAAAUUAGAGUGUUUAAAGCAGGCUGUUAUGCUGUGAAUACGUUAGCAUGGAAUAAUGAAAUAGGGCUUUGGUGCUAUUUUGUUUGGUUAUUAGAACCAAAGUAAUGAUUAAUAGGGAUAGUUGGGGGCAUUUAUAUUUAAUUGUCAGAGGUGAAAUUCACGGAUUUAUGAAAGAUAAACUUCUGCGAAAGCAUUUGCCAAGGAUGUUUUCAUUAA
rnacentral:rRNA from 1 species